rnacentral:tRNA from 1 species
GGGCGAAUAGCUCAGCUGGUUCAGAGUACCUGCCUUACACGCAGGGGGUCACAGGUUCGAAUCCUGUUUCGCCCA